CAUAGGCAGCAGGGUUUAGCCCGCAGGGUGGAUGAGUGCGGGAGUGUGGGGUUCCUCCCUGGAAGAAACACGUCCAAAGACUGACCCAAAACCAGAGUGAAAAAUGGGGAGUCAGAAGCAUCUGUCUGUGAGCAAGGAGUAAGGAAACAAGGGAACAGCAAUGGGUUCACCUUCACAGAGUGAAAAAAAGCUGCGUCCCUGCUGGCUGGCCAAGUCACUGGGCUGUCAGGGGGAGUGGCUGGGAAUCACAGACCCCAGAAGUCUGCCCUCCCGUCUGGCUAUUUGCUAAGCCUCCGGAUGUGGCCGUCCCCUUCUUCUGGACCUAAACAGCCUCUUGGCACAUGCUCCACCAGGUGUCCAUCUCCAGCCCCGUCUCUCCCUUCAAGUCUCACAGGACAGCGAUCCUGGAAUUUCUGGCAGAGUGCUGAGCACACAGCAUGAGCCCGGCAGCCCACAGGUCUGACUCAUGGCAGUUUCCUCUUUGAAAACAAUUGCUACCCUCAGCCAGCACUUCCCGAGGCUGAUAUGAAGGAGCACUGCCCAGGCCUCCCAGGAAAGCUGGGCCUGAUGUGGUCAGGACUCAGUGUGUCUUGAGCUGUGAGGUGGAGGCAGAGACCGAAGGCUUGGCCUCUCUAAGAGCUACGACUCUGACGGGUCAUGGUGCUGACCUGGCAUCAGAGCCCCCUCCUGGCCCCCGCUGUCCCCUGUCCCAGGUCUACACCUCAGACCUCAGCCAACACAAGUGGUUGCGGAAGGCUUUGCAAGCUGCAAGCUGCCCUAUCAACUCCCUUGUGGUCUUUUCUGUCACUAAAUAUA